ensembl:lncRNA
AGUUGUUUUGUAGCAUAACAAAAUGCCUAGACUGAUGUUAGAUUUUAGUUAGUUCUGCCUGGAAGGGAAGAUUUCAUGGCUUCUAGAAGUCAAAGGAGAGGAUGAGAACAGCAAUUCAGAAGAUUGGGAUCCAAGAACAACAGUUUGGAGUUGUACCUUUCUCUGGACUCCCUGAAGCAAAAGCAUAUUGGGCAAUGCCAUCCUGCAUCCAGGGUCUGUGACCUCUUUCUGUAGUGUGAAGAGGCAACCUGACUCAAAUCCUUCAGCUGAAGGAGAGUGAGUCUGUAAGAAGGCUCAUCCACGUGUAGUGUUGUAGCUUGCAACGUGCAUGAUUAGUUUGGUUUAACCAUCGUGUUCUGUGCGAUCUCAAAGCAUGAAGGUACUGUCCAGAGUUUGUGGUGAGAUGCUGGGUGUUGCCAGGUACCUGGUGAGCCAAACAGCGCCGGCAGUGAGCAAAGUCAGAAAACACGCAGGCAGUGAUAGUGUGACUGGGGAGUGAAGCAAAGUGCCUGGUUGUGAAGAUCUGCCUGCAUUACUGCAUCUCAGCUUAUUCCUUUUCACUAUGACUGCUCCUCACAAGUGAGCAGAAUGCGCACAGUUGUUUUUGUUGUUGUUAGAGCUCAGUGAACAGUAAAUACAGGUCUAGUUUUGAAUCAAAGAACUCAGCAGCAAAGUGGGUAAAAAGGAUCGUGUCUUUGAGACUUGGAGGGGAAAAAGAUUCCGAUUCCCUGCUUGUGAUUGUUGUGAAGGCAGUGAGAGGAGCUUUCAGUGGUCGAAUCUCCUGGCAUAUGGUAUUUCUAUUUAAUGUCACAGCACAGGUUUCACAAUGUUUAAACAAAGGGGGGGCAGAAGUGCUCUCUUCUGAAAAAGAAAAACAAAACUAUGUGCAAUUUUGCACAGAGGGCAAAAAAAGAAAUCCCUUUGAAUGUCACUUCCAGUCUUUCUUUUCCAUUGGCUGAAAAUGGACUCUUGUUCUUGAUGUGUAUUUGUAAACUAGUCUUGCCAAAAUACAAACACUUUGUGUUUCUUUUCACUCCAGAUGAUUUUUGUUGUUACGGUUAUUGCUGAUCAUUUCGCUUCCUUCAAACCAGAUAUUUUAUUUCAAGAGGCCUUCCUUGUGGAUUUUCUCCUGGUCAUCUGCAGCACUACUCUGCUGUUCCGAGGUGGAAGAGAAAGUCGCUAACCUCAUAAGAGAACACUCAACUCCGCUUAGCUGCCUGGAGCUAAUAAUGCGUUACUAAUUUUCCUCUGCUUUGUGGGGCAGGAGGGGAAUUAAAUUCUGCAUAAAGUUGCUACCUCAAGGCUCCAAGUGCUUUGAAAGUCUUUCACUUGGGAGAAUUUCAUAAGACAGUUCUUAAAAUUGGUCUGUUCUUUUUGAGUUAAAUAUGUUUUUAAUUGAUUUGAGGGACCCUUAUUCAUUUUACACUUAGUAUUUGAUUCUCAAAGGGUGAACAGCUGCAAAGUUUGAUUCUUGCAGUACAGUGUUAACGUGGAAAAAAAAAAGUAUCUGCCAUAUAAACAUAUGGUUUUAAAAAGUUAAACCACUCUGGGGUUCGGCUUCACUUUUGGUUAAUAAACUGACAUGUUGUGUCCAGCCUUCCUGGUACGAUCUGUGUGUGCUCUUUAUUGUUCGCUGCAGCUGACGCAGCCCCCCACAGCGUGCACAGCAGAGUGGGAUUUACAGCAGCUAACCGCAUUUCCCUGGGCUGCCUCAGUUCCUUCUCCUGUUCUGAGGGCUCACAGAGAACAGCGCUCACCCUAUCGCAGCAACCAAAACAGAUCUGUACAUGAUCUGACCACCACCUUUUGCUCUCCAGUGAUAAAAC